UCGAGGAUCUUCGGCAAUGGGCGCAAGCCUGACCGAGCGACGCCGCGUGCGGGAUGAAAGGCCUUCGGGUUGUAAACCGCUGUCUAGUGGGGAGGAAAUGCCGGUGGGUUCUCCCAUCGGUUUGACCUAUCCGCAGAGGAAGCAAGGGCUAAGUUCGUGCCAGCAGCCGCGGUAAGACGAGCCUUGCUAAACGUUAUUCGGAAUUACUGGGCUUAAAGGGUGCGUAGGCUGUGCAGAAAGUUGGGUGUGAAAUCCCUCGGCUUAACCGAGGAAUGGCGACUCAAAAACUACUGUGCUAGUAGGAAGACAGAGGUAAGCGGAACUUCGGGUGGUAGCGGUGAAAUGCGUUGAUAUCCGAAGGAACACCGGUGGCGAAAGCGGCUUACUGGGUCUUUCUGACGCUGAUGCACGAAAGCUAGGGUAGCGAACGGGAUUAGAUACCCCGGUAGUCCUAGCCGUAAACUAUGAGCACGUGGGUUGAAGGGUUCCUCCGAUAGCCUUUC
rnacentral:rRNA from 1 species